rnacentral:rRNA from 1 species
AUUGAACGCUGGCGGCAGGCCUAACACAUGCAAGUCGAACGUGCGGCGGACGGGAGAGUACUGUCUGGGACACUGCCAUCUGGAGGGGGAUAACUACUGGAAACGGUAGAUAAUAACGCAUACCAUCAGAUGCGCCCAGAUGGGAUUAGCUAGUAGGUGGGGUAACGGCUCACCUAGGCGACGAUCCCUAGCUGGUCUGAGAGGAUGACCAGCCACACUGGAACUGAGACACGGUCCAGACUCCUACGGGAGGCAGCAGUGGGGAAUAUUGCACAAUGGGCGCAAGCCUGAUGCAGCCAUGCCGCGUGUGUGAAGAAGGCCUUCGGGUUGUAAAGCACUUUCAGCGAGGAGGCGUUACUCGCAGAAGAAGCACCGGCUAACUCCGUGCCAGCAGCCGCGGUAAUAC